rnacentral:rRNA from 1 species
AGAGUUUGAUCCUGGCUCAGGACGAACGCUGGCGGCAUGCCUAAUACAUGCAAGUCGAACGCUGAAGCACUCUGCUUGCAGAGUGCGGAUGAGUGGCGAACGGGUGAGUAACACGUGGGAAAUCUGCCUAGGAGUGGGGGAUAACAUUCGGAAACGGAUGCUAAUACCGCAUAUCUUCAUAGACCGCAUGGUCUAUGAAUGAAAGACGGCUUUGCUGUCGCUCUUAGAUGAUCCCGCGGCGUAUUAGUUAGUUGGUGGGGUAAAGGCCUACCAAGACAAUGAUACGUAGCCGACCUGAGAGGGUGAUCGGCCACACUGGGACUGAGACACGGCCCAGACUCCUACGGGAGGCAGCAGUAGGGAAUCUUCCACAAUGGGUGCAAACCUGAUGGAGCAAUGCCGCGUGAAUGAAGAAGGUCUUCGGAUCGUAAAGUUCUGUUAUUAGUGAAGAACAAAUCGAGGAGUAACUGUCUCGAUUUUGACGGUAACUAACCAGAAAGUCACGGCUAACUACGUGCCAGCAGCCGCGGUAAUACGUAGGUGACAAGCGUUGUCCGGAAUUAUUGGGCGUAAAGGGAGCGCAGGCGGUUGGAAUAGUCUGAUGUGAAAGCCCACGGCUUAACCGUGGAAGGUCAUUGGAAACUGUCCAACUUGAAUGCAGAAGAGGUAAGUGGAAUUCCAUGUGUAGCGGUGAAAUGCGUAGAUAUAUGGAGGAACACCGGGGGCGAAGGCGACUUACUGGUCUGUGAUUGACGCUGAGGCUCGAAGGCGUGGGUAGCCAACAGGAUUAAAUACCCUGAUAAUCCCCCCCCGAAAACAAUGAGUGCUAAGGGGUUGGGAGGGUUUCCCCCCCUUU